rnacentral:rRNA from 1 species
CAGUCGCCGCGGUAAUACGGAGGAUCCAAGCGUUAUCCGGAAUCAUUGGGUUUAAAGGGUCCGUAGGCGGUCUUGUAAGUCAGUGGUGAAAGCCCAUCGCUCAACGGUGGAACGGCCAUUGAUACUGCAGGACUUGAAUUAUUGGGAAGUAACUAGAAUAUGUAGUGUAGCGGUGAAAUGCUUAGAGAUUACAUGGAAUACCAAUUGCGAAGGCAGGUUACUACCAAUUGAUUGACGCUGAUGGACGAAAGCGUGGGUAGCGAACAGGAUUAGAUACCCGUGUAGUCCCUGUCUCUUAUAA